CCUACGGGAGGCUGCAGUGGGGAAUAUUGCACAAUGGACGAGAGUCUGAACCAGCCAAGUAGCGUGAAGGAUGACUGCCCUAUGGGUUGUAAACUUCUUUUAUAUGGGAAUAAAACGUUCCACGUGUGGGAUUUUGUAUGUACCAUAUGAAUAAGGAUCGGCUAACUCCGUGCCAGCAGCCGCGGUAAUACGGAGGAUCCGAGCGUUAUCCGGAUUUAUUGGGUUUAAAGGGAGCGUAGGUGGAUGGUUAAGUCAGUUGUGAAAGUUUGCGGCUCAACCGUAAAAUUGCAGUUGAAACUGGCAGUCUUGAGUACAGUAGAGGUGGGCGGAAUUCGUGGUGUAGCGGUGAAAUGCUUAGAUAUCACGAAGAACUCCGAUUGCGAAGGCAGUUCACUGGACUGCAACUGACACUGAGGCUCGAAAGUGUGGGUAUCAAACAGGAUUAGAUACCCUUGUAGUC
rnacentral:rRNA from 1 species